AGGAAUAUUGGUCAAUGGGCGGGAGCCUGAACCAGCCAAGUCGCGUGAGGGAAGACGGUCCUAUGGAUUGUAAACCUCUUUAGGCGGGGAGCAAUGCCGGGCACGCGUGCCCGGAGGGAGAGUACCCGCAGAAUAAGCAUCGGCUAACUCCGUGCCAGCAGCCGCGGUAAUACGGAGGAUGCGAGCGUUAUCCGGAUUUAUUGGGUUUAAAGGGUGCGUAGGCGGAUUCUUAAGUCAGCGGUAAAAUGUCCGGGCUCAACCCGGGCCGGCCGUCGGAACUGGGGGCCUUGAGUGCGGCGGAGGCAUGCGGAAUGCGCGGUGUAGCGGUGAAAUGCAUAGAUAUCGCGCAGAACCCCGAUUGCGAAGGCAGCGUGCCGUGCCGCCACUGACGCUGAGGCACGAAAGCGCGGGGAUCGAACAG
rnacentral:rRNA from 1 species